CCAGGGCGUACAGCUCAGUAACACGUAGUCAACCUACCCUCGAGUCUAGAAUAAUCCCGGGAAACUGGGGCUAAUGCUGGAUAGAUGAGAGAUACUGGAAUGUUCUUUCGUCCAAAGAUACGCUCGAGGAUGGGACUGCGGUUGAUUAGAUUGAUGCCGGGGUAAAUUCCCGACAUGUCGAUAAUCAAUACGGGCCUUGAGAGAGGAAGCCCGGAGAUGGAUUCUGAGACAAGAAUCCAGGUCCCACGGGACGCAUCAGGCGCGAAAAUUCCACAAUGCGCGAAAGCGUUAUGGAGAAACCCGAAGUGGCUUCGCUAAGCGGAGUCUUUUGUCAAAUGUAAAAAGUUUGGAGAAUAAGGGGUGGGUAAGACGGGUGCCAGCCGCCGCGGUAAUACCCGCGCCCCGAGUAGUAAUCACGUUUAUUGGGUUUAAAGCGUCCGUAGCCGGGUUGUUUAGUUUUUAAUGAAAUCUCAUAGUAAA
rnacentral:rRNA from 1 species